GAUGAACGCUGGCGGCGUGCCUAAUACAUGCAAGUCGAGCGAACAGACGAGGAGCUUGCUCCUCUGACGUUAGCGGCGGACGGGUGAGUAACACGUGGAUAACCUACCUAUAAGACUGGGAUAACUUCGGGAAACCGGAGCUAAUACCGGAUAAUAUAUUGAACCGCAUGGUUCAAUAGUGAAAGACGGUUUUGCUGGCACUUAUAGAUGGAUCCGCGCCGCAUUAGCUAGUUGGUAAGGUAACGGCUUACCAAGGCAACGAUGCGUAGCCGACCUGAGAGGGUGAUCGGCCACCCUGGAACUGAGACACGGUCCAGACUCCUACGGGAGGCCGCAGUAGGGAAUCUUCCGCAAUGGGCGAAAGCUUGACGGAGCAACGCCGCGUGAGUGAUGAAGGUCUUCGGAUCGUAAAACUCUGUUAUUAGGGAAGAACAAAUGUGUAAGUAACUAUGCACGUCUUGACGGUACCUAAUCAGAAAGCCACGGCUAACUACGUG
rnacentral:rRNA from 1 species